UAGGAUUCAUGAUAGCACUUCAGGACUCGUUAAUUGUAAGAAGCACUUCAACACAUUAACAGUCAAACAGAAAUCACGUUUAUUCUUUGUACAAAGCACUUAAACUACCUCCACUUAAGCUAAAUAAAUUCAUAGCAUUCAGUUUCAAGAUUUUUUCACAUCACUUAACAAAUUCACUAAUAUUUACUAUCCACUCUGCC
rnacentral:lncRNA from 1 species